CAUUUUCUUAUAUUAAUAUAUUAGUAUACCAACCUUCCAAGUUGAAAGACCCUUUAGGAUAUAAGU
rnacentral:tRNA from 1 species